CAAAGUAUAGCCUAAAAUAAAGUACCUAGCUUACACCUAGGAGAUCCCACAACGUAUGGGUACUUUGA
rnacentral:tRNA from 1 species